ACCUGAAAUCAAGCAAGAUCACCCGCUGAACUUAAGCAUAUCAGUAAGCGGAGGAAAAGAAACUAACAAGGAUUGCCUUAGUAGUGGCGAAUGAACCGGCAAUAGCUCAAAGUGUAAAUCUGAGGCAUCAAGUCUUAGAAUUGUAAUCUAUAGGCCUUUUAGGGAAGCCAUGGUUCUAGCAUAAGUUCCUUGAAAAGGGAUGCCAAAGAGGGUAAAAGCCCCGUAUUUGGUUAGGACUGGGUGUACCGAAGGGUUCCAAGAGUCGGGUUGUUUGGGAUUGCAGCCUAAAAUGGGAGAUAAACUUCUUCUAAAGCUAAAUAUUUAUGGGAAACCGAUAGCAAACAAGUACUACGAAGGAAAGAUGAAAAGAACUUUGAAAAGAGGUUUAAAAGACUUGAAAUCGUUGAGGAGAAAAGCGGUAGAAGAGAAAUGAUUUCAUUCAGGAGUAUGUAGUUUUGUUGGUGUCUUCUGUGGUAAUGGUACUUCAUAGGGCCUAGCUGUAGACCGGCAUCGCAUUGCUGCUUUUUCUGGGUGAAGUGCAAAAUGAGGUCUCGCUUGCGGAAACGUCUCUAGGGAGGACUCUGGCCUUGACGCUAGAAGCCCUGGUCUCCAA
rnacentral:rRNA from 1 species